UACGUAGGGGGCAAGCGUUGUCCGGAUUUAUUGGGCGUAAAGCGCACGCAGGCGGUCAAGGAAGUUCAGGGUGACAGUUCCCGGCUCAACUGGGGAAGGGCCUUGAAAACUCCUAGACUUGAGGGCUUCAGAGGGACACGGAAUUCCGGGUGGAGUGGUGAAAUGCGUAGAGAUCCGGAGGAACACCAAAGGCGAAGGCAGUGUCCUGGGAAGUUCCUGACGCUCAGGUGCGAAAGCUAGGGGAG
rnacentral:rRNA from 1 species